UACAGAGGUCUCAAGCGUUGUUCGGAUUCAUUGGGCGUAAAGGGUGCGUAGGCGGCGCGGUAAGUCGGGUGUGAAAUCUCGGGGCUUAACUCCGAAACUGCAUUCGAUACUGCCGUGCUUGAGGACUGGAGAGGAGACUGGAAUUUACGGUGUAGCGGUGAAAUGCGUAGAUAUCGUAAGGAAGACCAGUGGCGAAGGCGGGUCUCUGGACAGUUCCUGACGCUGGAGGCACGAAGGCCAGGGGAGCAAACGGG
rnacentral:rRNA from 1 species